CAACCUGUGGGCAGGAACUCUUAUCCCUGUUCUACAGAUGAGAGGCCUAGGGCUUAGAGAGAUCAGAAACGGGCCCAGCCAAAGCCCACACUCAGCCACCUUGCUGUGUAACUUCCCACCGGUAAUUGGAACGAAUCUCCAACCACCUACCUUACAAGGUAAUAGAUCUGAUACCAUAACAAAGUCCAAACUAACUUCCAACGCACGGACGCAGCCACAUGUCUUCACUGACAAAGUAGCAGAGACAGCCAGGUAAGAAGUUGCAAAGGGAGGGUGCUGGAGCCCAGAAGCACCGUCCUGGAGGACUUCCUGAAAGAGAGUUCAAGAUGGAAAAGUUAAAGAAGUUCAGGGAGACUUUCUGAUAAUGUAUGCAAGAAUUCUGGAGGUGGGCUUCGGUGACUUUCAGACUCUGGAGAUACUAAACUCACCGCUCUGGCCUACACUCCAGUUGCAGCUCCAUUCCAGUUCCAGCACAUCAGGGGUGCCCACCAGGGCCAUCCUCCAUGACUUCUUUUCAAAAUGUGGCAUCAUGCAUAGAAAUAUCUGAGCACGCUUUCAGCAAUCAAAGCACUCUGUACGGCAAGUCAGGUCAUGGGUUUUUGGAUACUGGGCCAGAUCCUUCUCAUCUCUAAAAUGAGGUAACUGGAGACGACCUUCUAAGGUUCCUUCGAGAACAGGAGGACAUUUAUCUUGGACCACAGCUGACCUGAGUAGAAGGUAUUAUGAAGCCUGAGUGGGUGAUACAAGUUCAAGUUGUAUACAGAUGUCUUGGAAUUGAACAUUUCAGCUCUGGCUUCGGACUAAGAUAAUACAGAUGGAGAACCCAGCGGCAGGGAAGCUAGGAGUGGCGGAGGAGAAUGAAUCCAUGAGGACACUGCCCCUUGCGCUCUGGGGCCCUGUAGAAGGUCCCCCCGUGCUCCAGGUCUCUGUUCAAGUCCUGUCUCUCUACUCAUCAGCUGUGUGACCUUGGGAAGGUUACUUAACCUCUCUUAGUCUUCCCAUUUAUAACAUGGGGAAGACAACAGAUGUGCUUCACUGAGUUGUCAUGAGGUUUUAAAAUAGCAUAAGUCAUUCAUGUAGCUCACUGAAAAUUCUCGCCCUCCUUUUGGACACCUGCUAAGACUGCAUUUCUCUAGUCCCUUGAUGUGGAACUAGCCAUGUGACUUGCUUGGGCCCACGGAGUGAGAGCAGAAGUGUUCUCUGUUGCUCUAUGCAGAAGCGUUUACCAGCCAGGGGGAGGCACCCUAGAGCUCCCUUCUUCUUGCGUGGCUACUGGCACUGGCGGAAGCUCUGUUACUCCAGUUCAGCACAUGAAGGAGUGUGGCGUGGAGCCCCCAGGCAACCUGCGCUGGACUUUUAAUGAGAUUGAGAAGUAAAUGAUUAGCUACGAAGAUUUGGGGGUUGUUUGUUACCACAGCACAAACUAGCCUACCCUGACUAUAACAGUAUAUACGAAGCACCUAGAAGAGCCUCUCGAACGAGGUAACCUCAUAGUAAACGAUAAUUCCUGUCUUGAUUCUUAUGGCAAAGGCCAGGACCACCAUCUUUUGAAGCAACCACACAGAAUCUAGCACAGUUCUGAGCAAACGCUUGUAUACUCUUUCAUAGUAACACAAGAUGAAUUCAAAAUCAGGCUGUCAGAACCAAGGGAAAUAUUGUGCCCAAGAAAAAUGAAACUCUUUCCAGCAUCCAGAGAGGGAGUACCACUAUUUGCCCAAGGUGUAGAGCCAAGUCAUUGUUGUGCUCCAGUUUUCGCCAGUCAGAAGGUAGUUCAUAGAACAGCUUAUUCCUGUCCCCAUGUGAAUGAAGUCAUUUCUCAGGCAUAAGCCUAAUGCAUCCUCAGCUUAGAGUAAGAGGUAAGAGAUGCUGGGUACUGAUUCCAAUAUUUGGUAUUGGUUUACUUAGUGCAGACACCAAAGUCUUUUUUUGUGUCAAUACGUGUCAUAGGAAUACUUUUCCUAUUACACCCAGUAAAUUAUAAAGCUAUUGGAAUCUCAGUUACAUUAGAGUAAAGGGAGCCAUAAUUAAAGAACCUAGUCAUUCCUUCCUGGGAAGUCUCUGGCGACAAAGGAAUGUAUUCCAGGUAGGGAAGAGGCAAGGCAGGUAGAAGUUCAGAGCAUGACCUUGGGUGCCCACAAGACACAGGUUUG